UGCAUUUUUUUAACUCCGGAUCCGCAGACUACCGUUCAAAUUAUGACUACAUCACUGACUGACUGUCCCUAGAGUAAGUGACAAAAGACUAGGUGGUUGGUAUUCGAGAUUUUAAAUUCGAAUCCUAAUUGAUUCAUAUUUCUAGCUAAUUUUAUUUCUAAAUGAAAUAAACAAAUCGGAUAGCGUGCUACCUAUCUCUCUAAAAAAAAAAUAAAAUUACGACCACAUCCAUUGCGACCCGAACUAUUAGCCUAUCAAAGGAGACUGUUUGGUUUAAAGUUUGUAAUAUUUUAAAAUUAUUAUAUAUUUUAGGCUAAAAUAUAGAAAUUUUUUUGUCAAUAUCUGUCUUUUUAUUUUUCUCCCUCUGUUAUUGAAAAACUUAUAUUUUAUUCCCUUAAAAAAUAAAAAAUAUUCACACGUGAGUACGCUGUGACAAAAUGAUCAAAUUGCCUCUUAUCUUUUUUGGGGUGGGCGUGGACGGAGAGGUGUGCGAGGGCGAGGGUGAGGCGGCGGAGAUGGGCCAGGGCAUGCGUAUGGGUGUGGAUAGAGAGGUGGGCAAGGGCGAGGCAGCGCGACCAAGGAUGAGGAAGAAGGAGGGUUUUAUGGAUAUUUUGGAUAUAAAAAAUAGGAUAUAAACGGAAUCUUAACGGAACACUGAUGGCUGGGAUCAAAGUGAACAUUUUUUAUUUUUUAAAAGAGUAAAGAGUUGAUUUUUGAAUAACGAGAGAAGUAAAAAUACGGGUAUUGAUAGGGAAGUCUUUCUUAAUUUAGCCUAUAUUUUAUAAUAAAUAUGAUAAAUGUGUUAUUAACUUAUCAAUUUAUUUGAAUGAGAGAUUGUUAAAAAUUAGUAUAUUCUAAUUUUCAUUACGAGAAUGCCUCAUAACCCAUAAUAAUCUAGUAUUAUUAUCAUUUAAAAAUCUAUAACAAUUUUAUUAUUUCACUAACAUUUUUUACAUCCAUUCAGCUCGAAUUGAAUGAUAAUAAUUUGAAUAUUUUUAAUAAUAAAAUAUGAAAAAUUAUCGUAAUAUUAUAA
rnacentral:lncRNA from 1 species